CCCUUAGAUGUUCUGGGCUGCACGCGCGCUACACUGAUGCACUCAACGAGUUUACAACCUUAUCCGGAAGGAUUGGGUAAUCUUUUGAACGUGCAUCGUGAUGGGGAUAGAUUAUUGCAAUUAUUAAUCUUCAACGAGGAAUUCCUAGUAAGCGCAAGUCAUCAGCUUGCGCUGAUUACGUCCCUGCCCUUUGUACACACCGCCCGUCGCUCCUACCGAUUGAAUGGUCCGGUGAAGCGUUCGGACCGUGGCCUUUGGACGGUUCGCCGUCUGUUGGCUGCGGGAAGUUCGUUAAACCUUAUCAUUUAGAGGAAGGAGAAGUCGUAACA
rnacentral:rRNA from 1 species